rnacentral:vault_RNA from 1 species
GCACUGGUUUAGCUCAGUGGUUACUUCGACCAACAUUUCUCAUUGAGAAUAGCUUGAUCACCUCUCCUCGCGGGAUCGAACCACGGGCGCUGUCCAGUGUUUUU